GGACCUUUAGCUCAAUUGGUUAGAGCCCCCGACUCAUAAUCGGUUGGUUACAGGUUCGAGUCCUGUAAGGUCCACCA
rnacentral:tRNA from 1 species